rnacentral:misc_RNA from 1 species
AGGGAAAAAAAAAAAAAGCUACAUCCAGCUAGCUCUCCAACAACCACUUUGUUAAGAUGGCCGUGGUGGGCCAUUCUAAAAAGGCAUGCAAAAGCGGUCUAAUCUGUCGUGGCCUUAAACGGACACCGGUCAGUCAAGUUCAGCGAAGCAUAUUCCUUUCGAAGUAGAGAGAGAGAACGAUUGGUGUUCGAUUUUCUCAUGUCAGGUAAAUUAAGCAGAAGAAGAAGGGAUUUUUCUUUCCCCCCAUUUCCGUCAUCGCAUUCGCAUUACAGUUAUUGUUAAUAAAUAAACAUCACUCCAUAAUACGCCGCCGCCGUAGUCACCAAUGCGAUGCUCAUCAUUAGUGAUUACGAUCUAUCCCACGUGACUGUACCACCGGGCACCGGCACGUAUAUUGAAGUCGUCUUUGGAUCUUUGCUUACAUGAACCGACCGGCCCUCCUCUUGCUUUUUAAACUACACUUUAUAGCCAA